rnacentral:lncRNA from 1 species
ACAUGGGCUGGGCCAGAUUCCAACUUAAAAGUAAUGAAAAAACUGCCCCAUCACCCAACGCACUCACCACCUAAUAAUAAUAAUCAUUACAACAACACGUUACACUUACAACAACAUCCUUUACAUACAAAAAGGGAAAUAGUUAAAACAAGAUAAUGAUCGAAUUUCAAAUUAAAAAUAAAAACCCACAAAGUUGGUUUGGUUUAAUGGUUUUGGCAUCAACUAUCACAAACCGUUGGAUCAUAUCAACUUGACUUGAAAGGAAUGGCUCUGAUAACAACUGUGUGGUAAAGUGCUGCAAGUGCUGCACCAAUGAAUGGUCCAACCCAGAAAAUCCACUGCACAUAAAAAAAAGUAAACAAGAUUAAACAUAAAUUUCAAGAUUAACUAAUUAAUUAAAUUAAAUUAAAUUAAAUUAACACAUACUUGAUCAUCCCAACCAAGAUCUUUGUUGAAGAUAAUUGCAGCACCAAGACUCCUAGCAGGGUUGAUACCAGUUCCAGUAAUUGGAAUAGUAGCCAAGUGAACCAAAAACACAGCGAACCCAAUUGGCAAAGGUGCCAAAAUCUGUUAAUUCAUUUCAUCAACACACCAUUAAGAAACAUUAAACUAAAAUUAACACAUGUAAUUAAUUCAAUGAGACACAGGUACAAGGCAAAGCACAUACAGGAACGUGAGAGUCUCUGGCACUACGUUUGGCAUCAGUGGCUGAGAAAACGGUGUAGACAAGAACAAAGGUACCGAUAAUCUCAGCACCGAGUCCAUCUCCUUUUGUGUAACCAGGAGCAACAAAGUUAGCACCACCGUGAACUUUUCCGUAGAAGGCUUUUCCUUCGAAACCCUUAACCACACCAGCACCGCAGAUAGCACCAAGAACCUGCAUCACGAUGUAGAACACUGCUCUUGUUAGAGACAGCUUCCUCGCCAAGAACAAACCGAAUGUCACUGCUGGGUUUAUGUGACCCCCUGCAUCCACAACAUCACAAAUUAAUACCAUAAAAAACAUAACAACUAUGUAAGAUCCAGUACUACAGGACAAAAUCAGGAAAAACAAACUGAAGAGAGUGUAUACCAGAGAUUCCGGCAGUGCAGUAAACGAGGGCGAAGAUCAUGCCACCAAAAGACCAAGCAAUCCCUUGAAUACCAACAGUUUUACACUUGGAAUCAGAUUUGUUGACACCCAUGAUAGUCAAGAUGGUGAUGUAGAGAAACAGAAAAGUUGCAACGAACUCGGCUAUUCCAGCUCUCCAGAAAGACCAUGAAGUGAGUUCAGAAGGCUCAAACAACGGUGCAGGAGGUGGUUCUUUGUAGUCCUUACCGUCGUCAUGGCUCUGAGCUGCAAUACCGAUGGGUUGUCUCUCUGGGAAUUUGUUGGCUCCCAGUGAAACAUCUUGUUCCUUUGCUUCCAUUUCUCACUCUCUUGUUGAUGAAUGAAUAAUUGCUAUGAAUGAAUUGGAAGUGGUUGUUGUUGUGGUUGUGAUAGGGUUAUUAAGAUGUGAUUUAUAAACAGAGUGAAUUAUAAUGAAGGACAAAAAAGAAGUGGGUCAUGGGUGGUGGGUGGUGGGUCCAUUUCAUAUGUAAAAAAUUUGAAUAUUAUAGAAUUUGAUUUUCUUAUCUUUUUUGCCGUCCAAUCAUAUUCAUGACAGCAACAUAGAGUGGUAUAUCCAAGCUGGAGUGGUUUCUAACCAUGCAAUAAUUGGGCCCCACCAUGUUCUAUGCAGCACGAGAAAAAUCAAAAUAAUUGAAAGUGGAAAAUACGGGGUGAAGGUGAAGUAUUGAAAGAGGAGUAAAAAUUCAAAAUAAUCGAGUGAGUUCUGUCGACAUGGACAUCAUGUCAUGGUUGGUCCCAUUUCAGCAGCGAGACUGAGGAGUGGGAAACUCCAUUACCCUCUGGGCGGUCAUAAUUGUCGUCAGAAUAAUAUAAUGUACCGAAAGUAUCACGUUUUAUUACUCGAGAGUACUAUGUGUUCUGUUCAAGUAGAACCAAGCCGCAACGACUCUUAUGCCAUCAAUGCUGUGUCAAUCUCACUAUUAAAAUUUUGGGAAGUAUUAAUGCAUCAUUAAAAUAUCAACUAAAUUAUCUAAGUUUAGUUAAUGUCUCCAAUAUUUAAAACUACUAUCAAUUUUUAUAACUAAUCUAUAACUAUAUACAAUUUUAAUAACGUCUCCAAUAUUAUUAAAAUUAAUUUUCUAAUCAGAUUCACUUUUUUUUUCAAUUUUAAUUACUAAUAUAUAUAUAUAUAUAUAUAUAUAAAUAUAUAUAAUAUAUAUAUAUAUAUAUAAUAAUAAUAUAUAUAUAUAAUAAUAUAUAAAUAAAAUAUAAAUAAUUAUUGAAAUUAAUUGUUAUAGUUGAUAUUUAUAAAUAGAGUUAAAUAUGUUUUAGGUCCUCUUAAUAGCUCAUAUGUUAUUUUUAGUUUUAAAAAAAAAAAUCAUUAAUGAAUGAUCCUCUUAAAAUUCUUGAUUCACAUUUUUGGUUCCUCUUGCAAGUUAUUGAUGGAAUUUUCAACUUAACGACCGAAUUAUCGACGUUUUUAGCGAUUGAAUUAGCGACAGUUUUAGGCAGAGGGACCAAAAGUGGAUGAAAAUUUUUAUGAUGAGCAUUCUUUGAAAUAAAUUUUUUGAGGGACUAAAAGUAAAAUACGAGAUAUUUAGGAGGACCACAAACAUAUUUAACUCUUAUAAAUAUAGUGUUAAGAAUAUUUGUAUAUAGAAUAGUCUCACAUCAACUAUAUCAUGUAAUUAGUUGUAAUCUCUCUAUAUAUAUAAUAUAGGUUUUGUAUUGUUUUUCAAAACACAAUUUAUUCAAAUGUAUCUUAGUCUUUUGUACUUCAACAUGGUAUCUAGAGCCUACUCUGAGACAAUAUUUCACCGUGCUUUAUUUGGUUGACGCAUUGUCUUCCGGUGAGAAAUUGUUGGAAAAUUGUGUCAUAUCUCCAGGUUUUUCUUCCAUACACUACCGUGACUCAUUCCGACAUCAGUUUCCAAAAAUCUCCGGUCAUGAUCGUAUUGUCACCGUUGUUUGUCGCUGCAGCUACAGUUCUCGGUGACCUUUUGGAAAACUAACCUUAUCGGCAGAAAUGCCUCUUCCGAUCCGGUUGUUCCCCACUAUUUUAGUGGCAUAAACCUCCAUAUGCGCCCAUGCAUGCCACCUUCAUCCCCGCGUGUGGGUCUCACGUGAUAUUUUCUCUCUAUUCAUAUACGCAUGGCUACUUCUUAGAACUUUACGCCAAACUACGAUGUUCCUUAAGUGGUAGCAGAAUUAUCAAAACUCAUAUUCUACUGCUUCGGUAGCACACACUAGUAACUCAUUUGUUUGCCUAUCUCAAUCAUCUUUUCUUAGACCUUGUGUCCUUGAUUCUGGUGUGUUUGAUCAUGUUACCGGUAAUACAAAUAUUUUAUCUUCCUUCUCUACCUCUGAUUUCUUACCUACUAUAACUUUUGCCAAUAAUUCUCAAACUCAAUUUGAACGGAUUGGUACUGUUAAAAGACUACCUUCUCUCUCGGUUACUUUUUUUCUUUAUGUACCUAAUUGCCCAUUUAAUCUACUUUUAAUCAGUAGCUUAACUCGUUCUCUUGAUUGUAGUUUCACAUUCACUAACAAUAAUGUUACCCUACAAGAUUGGAGUUCGGGACUAACGAUUAGCGUCAGAUGUGAGUCUCAAGGCCUUUAUUACCUCUCUGUGUCAUCUCAGACAUGCUCAACCAAAGAUUCUUCACUCAUUAUCCAUGCUCAGUUAGGCCAUCUCAGUCUUUCCAAACUACAUAAGUUGGUGUCAAAUUUAUCGAAGGUAUCUAAUUUACAUUGUGACUCGUGUUAGUUAGGGAAACACAUUCGUAGUCAAUUUUCAAAUUGAGACAAUAAAUGAGUUUUGUCCCCUUUUUCUUAAGUUCACACUGAUGUUUAGGGACCCUCGCAUAUUGUAUCUACUCUUGAGUCUAGGUAUUUUAUCACCUUUAUUGAUCAUUUUCACGUUGCACGUGGUUAUUUUUAAUGAAGAAUAUAUCUGAACUAUUUUCUAUUUUUGAACAAUUUUAUCGAGAAAUAAGAACUCAAUUCGGUGUGUUUAUCCGUACUUUAAGAAGUGACAAUGCCAAUGUGCUUUUCUUGGUUAUCAUUGAUCCAAAAAAGGUUAUUGUUGUUAUUCAUAUACUUUACAACGAUACUUCAUAUCAGACGAUGUUACCUUCUUCGAGUAUGUUCCAUAUUUUGAGUUUAGCCACGUAACUCCGAAACCCCUUCAUGAAAGUACUCUUACACCUUUUUUGGCAGUUAUUAAUGUUUUGUCUACCAUUUCUCGACCCCCUUACACAUACACACACUUCUCGACCACUUCAAACAUAUCAAAGUCAUCACCCAAUGUUUGUCGUUCCUGUCCCUGAGGUCAUACCUAUCCAUAAGGUCAUAUGUGUCCUUGAGGUCAUUGCAAACUCUCCUCCGACACCCCUGACAUCACCGGAUCUGAUCUUGUAACCUGAGUUCGAUCUUCCAAUUCCCCUUCGAAGAGGUGUAUGUCAAACAUGAAAUCCUUAUCCAUAUUAUAUUGAUUUAUGUUAUCGUCGUCUUUCCCUUUUGCAUUAUACUUACUUGUCUUCUUUGUCUUCUGUUUCUAUUCCUAAAACUCCAAGUGAAGCGUUAUCUCACCCUAAGUGGAGGCAAGCAGUGAUUGAUAAGAUGUGUGCUCUUCAAAGUAGUGGUAUCUGGGAAUUGGUUCUUCUUCCCCCUAGGAAAUCUUUGGUAGGUUGUCACUAGCUUUAUACAAUGAAGGUUGGUUCAGAUGGUAAGAUUGAUCGAUUAAAAGCUUGCUUAGUAGCCAAUGGAUACGCUCAGAUUUUUGGGUUGGAUAUAGGGGUACUUUCUCGCCUGUGGCCGAGAUGGCAUCAAUUAUACUUCUUCUCGCCAUUGCAGCCAUUCAACAUUGGCCUUUUCACCAACUUGACAUCAAAAUUUUAUUUUUACAUGGUGAUCUUUAAGAGGAAGUAUAUAUGGAGCAAACACAUGGGUUUUUUGCUCAGGGGGAGUCAUCGAGUACGGUUUGUAGGCUACACGGGUCUCUUUAUGGUAUUAAUCAAUCUCCUAGAGCUUGGUUUGGCAGAUUCAACACUGUAGUAUAACAAUUGGGUAUGGUCCAUAGUGAAGUUGGACAUUCUGUGUUUUAUCGACACUCAACCCAAGGGUGUAUUUAUCUUAUUGUGUAUGUAGAUGAUAUUGUUAUAACUGGUAGUUAUCAUCAGGGAAUACUUCUGUUGAAACAAUAUCUCUCUAAUCAAUUUCAAACAAAAGACCUAGGUAAACUCCAUUAUUUUUGGGUAUUGAGGUAGCUCAAUAAAGAUGGUUUAGUGAUUUCUUAGCGGAAAUAUGCUAUGGAUAUUUUGGAAGAAACAUUUUUGUUGAGCGCUAAACCAAUUGAUACUCAUAUGGAUCCAAGUAUUAAACUCAUAUCCAAUCAGGGGGAGCCUCUACCUGACUCAAGAAGGUAUAGGAGGUUGGUUGGAAAAUUGAAUUAUCUCACAGUCACUCGUCCGAACAUUUCUUUUGAAGUUAGUGGUAAGCCAGUUCUUAAAUUCUCCUUGCCAAGAACACAUGGAUGUUGUUGUCCGAAGUCUGAGAUAAAUCAAAUUUGCUCCAGGAAAAGGCCUCGUGUAUCAUGAUAAAGGACAUACUCAGAUAGUUGGAUACUCCGAUGCUGAUUGGGCAGGGUCACCCAUUGAUAGACGGUCCACCUCUGGGUAUUGUGUACUUGUUGAAGGAAACCUUAUAUCUUGGAAAAGUAAGAAACAAAAUAUAGUUGCAAGAUCAAACGUCGAGGAAGAGAUUAGGGUCAUGGCAAUGGCAACAUAUGAACUCAUUUGGUUAAAAUAGUUGCUCAAAGAACUUCAAAUUGAAGAAGAAAGACCAAUGACACUUGUUUGUGAUAAUCAAGUUGCAUUACACAUUGCUUCAAAUCCAAUCUCCCAUGAGAGGACCAAACAUAUUGGGAUAUAUUGUCAUUUUGUCAGAGAGAAGAUUGAAUCAGGCGACAUCGUCACAAGCUUUGUCAACUCUAAUGAUCAAUUGGCAGAUGUGUUUACAAAAUCCUUGUGAAGUCCCAAAACUAAUUAUAUAGGUGACAAACUUGGUGCAUUUGACUUAUAUGCUGAAGCUUGAGGCAGAGUGUUGACAUUUAUAAAUAUAGUGUUAAAAAUAUUUGUAUACAAAAUAGUCUCACAUCGACUAUAUUAUGUAAUUAAUUGUAAUCUCUAUAUAUAUAAUAUAGUCUCUAUAGUACUUUUUAAAACACACAGUUAACUCAAAUAUCUAAUAUAGUCUCUUGUACUUCAAUAGUUAUAAUCAAAUUUCAUUUUUUUUAAAAACUGUUAUAAAUUAAUUAUUAAUCAAUUAUAUUCAUAACCGGUUCUAUAAUUAGUUUUAAUUUAAAAUAAAAAUAUAUUUUUUUUAAUUUUUAAAAUUUUAUUAUUAUUGUUUUCAAAAACAAAAAAUCCUUUUAAUUAAAAAAUAUUUUUUUCGGAUUAAAAAAAAUAUUUGUUUUUUAUGUUUUUUAAAAAAUAACUUUUUUUGUUUAUUUUUUCUUAAGAAAAUCAUGUUUUUUGUUUGUUUAGUUUCAGAAAGAUAUUUCCAAAAAAAUAUAUAUAAUUUUUUUUAUCUUCAAAUUUUUUAUUAUUUUCAAAAAAAAAAUCUAAAAAAGUUUUUAUAAGGAUAUUUUUUUGUGAUUUUUAAAAAAUAGAGUAAUUUGAUUUUUAUUUUGGAUAUAGAUGUCGAAAAUAUGAGUUUGGAUAAAAUCAUAUUAAUAACAUAUCUAAAAUACGAAUUUCAUUAAAAUCAAAUUAAUAAUUAAUUGGUUUUUAAUUAAAAAAAAAUAGAUAUGGAUAUGAAUAAUUCAAAUAAACGAUUAAUUUGAUCAACCCUAAUUUUAGUAAUUAUAUAAAGAUUUUUAACACCCACAAUCCAUACCUUUCAAUUGAGAUGACAUUGUCACAUUGUUUUUACAAACCAAAACACAAAUUAAAACAAAUUUCUCUCUCAUAAGUCAGACUUCAUUGCAAGGAGGAAAAAAAUAUUUUACUCUCAGUGCAAAAUGUGUGCACGUCUCUAUUGUUCUAAUGUUUUUUUUUUCAAAAUCUUUGUUGUUUCAAAAAAACUCAUUUCUAGUUUAACAUCUUUGUUCUUCUAAUGUGUGUGUUUUAAAGUUUUUGUUGUUUCACAUUUUUUCAUGAAUUGUUUAAUAUAUGUUUAGUUCUAAUUUGUUUGUUUCAAUAUCAAAGUUAUUUAACAGUUUUUUCUCUUAGUGCAGAAUGUAUGCACAUCUAUGUUGUUCUAAUGUGUUUGUUUCGAAAUCUUUGUUGCUUAAAAAAAAUCAUUUAUGAUUUAUCAUUUUGUUCUUUUAAUAUGUGUGUUUUAAAAUAUCUGUUGCUUCACAUUUUUUUCAUGAAUAGUUUAAUAUAUAUGUUGUUCUAAUUUAUUUGUUUCAAUAUCAUAGUUGUUUAACAAUUUUUUUUCUGAGUGUAAAAUGUAUAUGCACACUAUGUUCUUCUAAUGUGUGUUUCAAAAUCUUUUUUGCUUCACAUUUUUCAUGAAUAGUUUAACAUCUGUGUUAUUCUAAUUUGUUUGUUUCAAUAUCAUAGUUGUUUAACAGUUUAAUCUCAUGUUUAAGGUUUAAGAUUUUAACCUUUGCGAUAGAACCAAUCCUUCCACUAUAAAUUUUCAAUCGAAAGUUCUUAAAAAUGUUUGUCAUAAUUCAAAACAGUUUUCGUUAUAAUGGAUGUUUCAUUAUUACUAAAAUAUGUGUUUUUGAUAUCAUUUGUGUGCCUUAACAACUUUUAAUAUAGGUUUUUUUUUCUUCGGAAGUAAGAUGUGUGCAGAGUUUUUUUUUCCGAUUGAUAAUUUUUUUGGAUGAUAGUGAUGUAUUUUUCUUAUAUAACAUGUGUUACUUAACAACUUCUAAUAUAGAUUUUUUUAUAUUAAAUGUAUGCUAAUAAAUUUUAUGUUAUUAGCUUUAUGAUUAAUGGUUCAUUUAGAGUAAGAUGUGUGAACAUGUGUGCUCCUGAUAUAAUAUUUUUGAUAUAAAUUAUUUUUUCAAAUUUUUUUUAAUAUCAUGCUUUCUGAUCAAGAUGAAAUCAAAUAUUAUUUAUGUUGCAUGCUUCUCUUGGGUAUCGGAAUAACAUGAAAUAAUAAUAACACAGCUAAAAUUUGAGUGAAAAGUAUAGGAAUGAGAAGAAACACAAUUAAUUCUAACUCUUGGAUGAUUAUAAACUACAAUAUAAUGUCUCUAUUUAUAAGAGUCUUAUGUACUAUAAUAAAUGAAUACAUAUUUAGUGAAUUUUACGUAAUCUUCUCUUCAUCAUAGAAACCAAUGAUUUCUGUUGCAUUGACUUUUUCCUUUCUACAAAACAUAGAUGACUUUAUGUCCUCAAAAUCUCCCACUUAAAGUCAUUUUGUUUGCUUUCAAAAUUUCUCUCUCUUGCUAAUUCCAUGUUGCUACGUUUUAGAUAGGCCAUAAGAAGACUUGCACCAAUAAAACUUGUCAGUGUUGAUCGGCUUUGCCAUAGCAUCAGCUAGGUUGUCUUUAGUGUGAAUCUUUUGCGUGUCCACACUCCCUUCCUCUACUACUUCAUGAACAAAAUGGUAUUGAACUCAUAUGUGCUUUGUCUUGGAAUGAAAAGUUGGAUUUCUUGCAAUGUGCAAGACACUUUGACUGUCACAAUACACAAUAAUUUUUGGUUAUUUAUGUUUGAGCUCUUCCAAUAACCUUUGCAUCCAUAUAGCUUCCUUGCAUGCUUUGGUAGCUGCAAUAUAUUCAGCUUCUGUAGUAGAUAGAGCUACAAUAGUCUGUAAUUUGGAUAACCGGCUUACAACUCCUCCCGCAAUUGUAAACACAUAGCCAGUAGUAGAUUUUAUUUUGUCAAGAUCACCUGCAUAAUUUGAAUCAACAUAUCCUUUGGCACCAAACUCCAAUCCUCCAAAACAUAAUGCAACAUUCGGGGUUCCUUUUAUAUAUCUCUGGAUUUUUUUAACAGCAUCCCAAUGCUUUUUACUAGGAUCCGCCAUAAAUCGACUGACCGCUCCCACUUCUUGUGCAAUGUCUGGCUUUGUACAUAUCAUGGCAUAUAUAAGGCUUCCCACCGUUGAUGCAUAGGGUACUCGAGACAUUUCCAUCCUCUCUGCUUCAUUGCUAGGAUUUAUACUUGAGGAUAAUUUAUAAUUGAUAGGGAGUGGGGUAAAUAUUGGCUUACAGUCUUGCAUGUUGAAGCCCCGUAAAACUUUUCGUAGAUAAUUUCUUUGAGAAAGCCAAAUCUUUCUAUCUUUUCUAUCUCGGUGAAUUUGCAUCCCUAAAAUCUUGUUUGUUGCCCCCAAGUCUUUCAUAUCAAACUCCCUAGCCAAGUAUGCCUUAAAUUCUUGGACUUGAUAUUUAUUGGGGCCAACAACCAACAUGUCAUCCACAUACAACAACAAAAAUGGUGAAAACAUUUUCCUCAAACCUCUUGUAAUAUGUACAAUAAUCUGAGCUCAACAUGUUAUAUCCAAGGCUAAUAAUGAAGGAAUCAAAUCUCUUGUACCAAUACCUUGGCGCAUGCUUUAUACCGUAUAGAGAUUUGGUCAACCUGCAAACCAAGUUUUAUUUUCCUUUUUCUUCAAAACCUUCUAGUUGGAGCAUAUAUAUUUCUUUUUCAAGUUCUCUAUGAAGAAAAGCAGUCUUUACAUCCAAUUGUUCAAGAUGUAAAUCAUAAGUAACACACAUAACUAACACUACUCUAAUAAUGGUAAGUCUAACCACCAGAGAAAAUAUUUCAUUGAAGUAAAUUCCUUCCUUUUGUGCAUAUCCUUUAACCACCAGUCUUGCACGAUAUCUUUCCACUUGGUCAUUAACAUCACGUUUAAUCUUAUAGACCCAUUUCUUGCCGCUGGCUUUCCGACCCUCUAGAAGUACAACAAGAUCCCAUGUCUUAUUUUUAUGUAAGGCUUCCAUUUCUUCUUGCAUUGCUGCCAUCCACAAAGAAUCAUUUGAGGAACUCGUAGCCUCUUGAAAGGUUGAUGGUUCUCUAUCUCUUGUUAGAAGACAAUAUGCAUCAUGGCUUGCCAUAACAUAGUCUUAUUGCCAAUUUAGUUUCCCUUUUUGAUGUGUUAAUCGUCGAAAUUCAACACCAUAGGGUUCUUAUGGUUCUUGUACCUCGUGCUCUGGUUCCGCUUCAAAAGAAUCAUCUUCUACAGACUUUCCAUCUAUAUGAACAAUAUUGAUAUCUUUAGCAGUGCUGUCAUUUUCCUGCUCCCUUUGAAGUUCAUUCUCUGCAAAGAUUACAUCCCUGGUGACAAUAACCUUGCGGGAAGUGGGAUCCCACAAGCGAUACCCCUUGUCACUGUUAGCAUAGCCCAAGAAUAUGCAUUUCCUGGAUUUUGGAUCCAGCUUAGUUCUUUCUUGGGAGUUAUACAUCACAUACACAUGACAUCCAACCACAUGUAGAAUAUAAUAAUCAGUUAGCUUUCCUUUCCACAUCUCAAUCAGAGUCUUUAAACCAAUUGGACUUGAUGGUGAUCUAUUUAUCACGCAACAAGCAGUUUUCACGACUUCUACCCAGAACGACUUGGCUAAUCCUAUAGUUCACAACAUAGCUCUAGUACUUUCUAGGAGAGUCCUUUUCACCCGCUCUGCUACACCAUUCUACUAAGGUGUAUGGGCAAAUGUAAAUUGUCUCACUAUACCCUCUUCCUUGCAGAACGCCAAAAACUCAUUGUCUGUAUAUUCUCCUCCAUUGUCGGUCUUCAAGAACUUAAUUUUCUUUCCAACUUCAAGCUUAAUUAGUGCUUUGAAAUGCUUAAAUAUUGAAAACACAUAUGACUUCUUCUUGAUUAGGUAUACCCAUAAUCUUCUGGAGUAAUCAUCAAUGAAUGAUCUAAAAUAUUUUGCUCCUCCCGGUGACAUUUGCGGUGACUCCCACACAUCAGAAUGAAUCAAGUCAAGUAUGUGUUUCCUCUUCGUGGUUGAUCUAUCAAACAUCAACCUAUGUUGUUUGCUUAUCACACAGUGCUCACAAAAAGGUAAACUUACCUAUUUGAGCCUGGGUAAGAAAUCACAUUCCACAAGAACAUUUAAGCCUCGUUCUGACAUAUGGCCCAUUAUGCGAUGCCACGUUGUUGUUGAGUUUUCUUGACUAGUUGAUGCAACUGACACAUCACCCUAUUAUAAUGUCUCUCCCAUAAGAAUGUAUAUAUUUGAAGAUAACUUCUCUACCUAAGUAACUACUAGAGCAUCUCUCACCACCUUCAAGAUCCCACCUUCAAUAUGGGUCUUGUACCUGAGGUUAUCUAAUUCUCCAAUAGACAAUAAAUUCUUCUUUAACCCUUUCAUAUGUUGUACCUCUUGAAUUAUGCAAACUGUACCAUCAUACAUUUUUAUUUUGGCAGUACCUACACAACCAAUUUCUAGGCAUAAUCAUUUCCCAUGAACACUAAUCCUUCUGAGAUAGGUUGAUGAGUGUAAAACCAAUCUCGUCAAGGAGUCAUGUGUCAUGUUGCUCCUGAAUCAAUUAUCCAAACAUCAGUGAGUUAUUUACUUCCUUUGGAACCAGUUGUUUCUCCGCUAUAUAGAAUCUCUCCAUCAUCAUAGGUAUUGGAAACACAUCCUUGAGAUGAACUUGCCUCAAAAGACUUCUCACCAUUCUUCUUAAACCAACAAACCCUUUUCAAGUGACCUUUCUUGCCACAAUUGUAGCAUUUCAGGUUUAUCUUACUUCGAUACUUUGAUCUACCAUGAUUUUGUCUCCCACUAGGGCCACGUUCCAUUGAUCUUCCUCUCGUCAUUGUCAAAGCUUCUACUUGUUUUGAGCUUUCUUCACGGUCUUCCUUAUUUAUACAUCAAAACUCUUCCUCAAGAAUGGCUCCGACAACAUCAUCAAAAUAUAGACGGCUUAUAACUUUAUUAUUUGUUAAGUUGACAGCAAGUGAAUCAUAUGAAUCUGGUAAGCUCUGAAGUAGAAGUUUUGCACGUUCAUUUUCUGCUAUGCUGAAAUUUUUCAAUGUAAGUUGAGCAAACAUCGUAUUUAGAGUGUCAAUGUGAUUUGUCACAGAUGUGGGUUCACUAAUUCGAAGAGUGUAGAGUCUUCUCUUUAAGAAAAUUCGGUUGUGAAGUGACUUGACCUCGUACAAUUUGAUGAGAACAUCCCAAAUCUCCUUUGCGGUUUUAUUUUCAGCAACGCUAGACAAAACUGAAUCCGCCAAUGCUAAGUGUAAAUUGGAAACAACGUUGUUAUCCAUCUCAUUCCACUUCUCGUCAGAUAUUCCCUCAGCUCUAUCUUCAAUUGCGGCUAAGCAAUUAUCCUUCCUCAUGAUUGCCUUUAUCUUUAGUUUUCAUAGAGAGAAAUUACUCCCGUUGAACUUCUCAAUCUCAAAUUUUACUGUCAUGGUAAUUUCAAUUGAACCAGCUUGCAUAAUUUCACCGUGAACAAUAAAGUAUACAUGGACAAUAUUGUAUAUAUUUUACCGCACACCGGAACAAAUCUGGUAUACAUUAACAAUCAUUGUAAAAGUAUACAAUAACACGUAUGAAUAGUAACUGUGAACAAUAUUCGCAUCAGAAUAUGAACCAACACCAAAUGCUCUGAUACCAUUGUUGGAUAUUAGAAUAACAUGAAAUAAUAAUAACACAACUAAAAUUUGAGAGAAAAGUAUAGGAAUAAGAAGAAAUAUAGUUAAUUCUAACUCUUGGAUGAUUAUAGGAUGAUUAUAAACUACAAUAUGAUUUCUCUAUUUAUAAGAGGAUAUGAUCCAUAAUUUCAAAAUUUUGUUGUGAAAAAGAAGUAGAAAAAGACGUUUCUUAAAAAAAAUGAAUGAAUGACAAAAGAAAAAGAAUGACAUUGUUAGAAGGAUCACAAAUUUCUAGUAGUAACAAAAAGGUAUGAUGAAUGGAGGAGAACUAGGAACCUAACUCCAAAGGUGUAACCCUACUUUCCUAAAUAUAUCCUACCUUAACAUAAGCCAAGUUACAACCUGGAAAGCCCUCUAAUGUGUGUGUUGUGAGUUCUUUGAUGAACUUUAUUAGAACGUGAUCAAGCUAAGUUUAAUUGAUUUUGCAUGUUGAUUGAGUGAUCACCCAAUCCAAUGAGUGAGUUAUAGUGAGUUGAGAGACAGGUUGAAUACUCGUCAAUGUUAAGGAUGUUUUACGAAUUCAUCGGAUAGAAGUUGGAAGCUAGAACAUGGUCAAGUAAAAAAUAAUUAUUUAGUGAUGUUCGAUUGAUAUUGUGCGACUUGUUGUCUGUUGAAAUGUGCAAUUACAGGCGAGUUACUUGAGGACAAGCAACGAUUCAAGUUUGGGGUUGUGAUGACAGUCUGUCAUUGCAUGUAUUUAGUUAAAGAAUCAAAGUAAAACAAGUGAAAGUCAACCAAAUAUGAGAAGUAAUGGUCAAAGAAUGAAGGGAAAAUAGCUAACUGUACAAAUUGUAAUUUUGAGUGAAAAAAGAGCAAAAAAUACCGAAGCUUCGAAAAUAAUCACAACCACCAUCGCGCCCGCGAUAGGGCAUUAAAAGCUUCUUCGCGCGCGUGAUGCAGUGUAUCACACGCAUGAUGGUCACUUUUUUGGGCCUUUUUUGACGUGUUCUGGUCUAUUCUGACACCUUUAAAAGGGGAAAUUGUAUACUUUCACGUGGGUUACAAAAUUUGGCACUGGAAGCAUGAUUUUACAACAUUAAAGGGUGAUUUUGAGAGCAUUAGAAGCCAUUGGAGGCCAAUCCUUCAAGGGAAUUCAUAUGUUAUUUUUAUUUAUUCAAUUGGUAUUGUAAUUUUAACUAUGAGUAAUUAAGCUUCUCUAGGUUAGGUUGUGUGAUGAUGAAUCUUAUUCAAUCUUGUUGGCAUUAUAUGUUGGUUUGACUUUGUAUGAAUCCUUUGAAUUAUAAUUUUAUUCAGUUGUUGCUUAAUCUUAAUGCUUUUUAUUUGAGAUACUCUAUUAAUAUGAUUUUGGACACAUAGGGAUUAUUAACCCUUAGCCUAUGUGUUAGACCUAGGGAAACUAUUCUACUUAUGCUGGUUGAAUAGGGAUAGAAGAUCACGAGCAAUGGCAUAAGGAAUUAACAUUAUGUACAUCGCCUAACCCUGUUUACGCUGGCGGAUUAGGGAUAGGGAGCUCCGAGUAGUGGUUAGUGAUUUAUUUCGUGAGUGGUGAGGUUAUAAGGAUGAUAUCAUUCAUAGAAGGCAUCAUACUGUAAGACCCCAAUUUUGACCCUAAGAUCUCUCAUGUUAUCUCAUCAUAUGCAUUGGCUUUGGGAUCACACAUCGGCAUCCUCCUUACCCCUCAUUCAUUGGGUUUCCAUUGGGAGAGAUCACAAAGCAUGUUUGAUUGUAUCAUACUUUAUUUUUCUUUAUUUACUAACCAAAAUACCAAAAAUAUGUCCAUGUAUAACUUUGUUUCUUUUGUAGGUAGUAUGUGCAUCCACCAAUACCUCAUCAAGCUCACAACUAGGGUUUGAGGCCCUCAGGGCAAGGAUAUCAAUCAAGAGAUGGUUCACAUUGGUUCUAUACAUCAUAUAUGGAUCCGCGUAUUCUUCAUUUAUCAUUUGGAUCAAGAAAUCAUCAAGAGUUUGAAGCUAGUUUGCCUUGGAAACCCUAAUUCAUCUGGGUAUCUUGUGUGACUUCCUCAUCAAGUUUCUUUAAAAAUUGGUCCAAUAUAUCAAGGGAUACUUCACCAUACAUCAUAUUAUGAAUAUAUGAUCCUUAAUGAGUCCAAAAGAUCAAAAGAACUUCAAUUUUGCAAGUUGGUUCAAAGAGGUUGACCAGAGAAAGUCAACUGGUCAAAAAUGGGGUUCCCUAGACUCUAUCUCCUACAAUUUUUGUCAUAUGAAAAUAAUUCAAAUAUAAAAGUUACUCCUUAUGACAUUUAAAACAACUUUCAUGUUUAGGUUAAGAGCUAGUUUUUCUUGUAAAGUCAUUUUUUAUGGUGAAAGAUUAUAGGUCAUUUUGUCUGUGUCCUAGUUAGGAGGUCAACUUCCAAGGACCAUAACUUGCUCAAUUUGUAUGAGAUGAAGACCAUGAAAGUUUCAUGAUCCAUUUAGAGAUUUCCUAUCCAACUUUGAUUCUUUUAUAAAUUUCAAAUUCAACUUGCAAGGGCUUGUGCCAAGAGGAAACAUUAUAGGUCAUUUUGGACCAUUGCCAUUGAAUGAACAAUUUUCCUCAACUUCUAAAAUGCAUAACUAAUUCAUGACAAAUCCAAAUGAGGUCAAAGUUAUUACCAAAUUGAAUAGGAUUGAAAUAGCUACAAUGUUAAUGAAGAAAUGUUUUCCAUUUGAAGCUCAUAAAAAAAGUUAUUCAAGGUGGAAGAAGUGGAUAUUUGACUUAGUACUUAGAAAAAUUUCAAUUAUGUUUGAUUUCUCAAACUUCCACCUCAAAAUUCAUCAUGAUCUAAGCCUCAAAUAGAAAAGUGUUCAACAUGAAAGUUUUCCCCCCUGAUGUCACCUUUCUGAAACGUCCAAAAUCACCUCAUUUGGAUAAGAUUUGAAUGACUUGCGCAUGGUUACUCUUCAUGGUCCCAUUUGGAUGAAUCUCAUGAUCAUUUCUCAAUUACAAAUGCAUGGCCUCAUGUUAGACUUUAAGCAUCAUUCAUGAUCAUUUUUGGACCUGAUUACAUCAUCUCAUAGGCCUAUCACAUGCCCAUGCAAGUAUGCACUUCACCUUUCCAACUUUGGCCAAUUUUUGAAGUGUGUGAAAAGCAAUGAACAUGGCUAUAAAUACAUGACCCUAGUGAUCAGAAUGAGGAUCCUCUUGCCCCAGAUUUUCCCCCUUUCUUCCCUAAACACCAUUGAAAGGAUAAUCUUGAAGAUUUCUUGAGAAAUCGAGUUUCAAUUCUCAUUCUGUUUUAGAAUUGAAACUCCAAGAGUCCAAGUUUUUUAAUCAUCAAUAUCAUCUCCUGCAAGCUUCUAGAGUCAAGCCAAGCCAAAUUGGAAGCAAGAUUAAUCUAAUUUGAAGCUCCCCGAAGGAGAGAUUUCAGAAACUUCUCUUCUUCGAUUCUUCCUCAUUUCUCAUCCAUUUUGAUUGAUUGUUGGUUUGUUGAUGUCCUACCAAUGUAGGCAACAAGAUUGAGUUGCUUUGAGGUCAAAUCGAAGCAACUCAGUUCAUGAUCCUCAAAAUUCAAAUCCAUGUAUCUUUCAAUAUACUUGGAAUUAGAUAAAAUUGAGUCCAGAUUCGUGCUUUUGAGCAUUUUUUCUCUAAAACUAUGUCCUUGUUUUUCAUUUUGGUGAAAGUUUGUGGUGGACCAGUCCGGUGAGGUCCACCGGAGAAGAUGACCGCUUCGGUGGUGCGUUGGCACUCUCUCAACCUUUUGAUCCAUUUGAAAUGUUCUAAUCUUGGCCCCUUGCUUUUGAUUACCAUGUGUGUGUCGCAGUUGACUGAGGUGUUUGUGCAACGUGCACGCUUGGCCAUUAGAUCUGCCACCUCAAUUAAUGAGGGAGAUCUGAUGGCCCCCAAUUUUCCAUAUUUCCGGAUUUUUUAUUUAAUUGUGUUAUUUUAUUUAAUUCAUAAUAAAUCCAUUUUUAAUCAAAAAAAUAUGGGACUUUCACCCAAAAAAAUUAAAUAUUUCUCUAUUCCAUAUUCUGAAUUAAAAUUAUUUUUUGGAUUGAUUUUGAUAUUUUUCACGAAUUAAGUGUUUUUGUGCAUAUUUUUAAUUGUUUAAAAAUACUUCUGACUUUUUAAAAAUCAUGAAUUUUUUUGUCUAAGGUCCUUUAACCUUGUUUGACCUAGGAUAAAUCCAUUGGCCAUUUAUUUGGUGUUUUGAAGGGAUUUGAGGUUUUGUCCAAAUAAAAAUGCAUUUAAAUUUAUUUUUAAUUGAUUAAAUGUUUGGAAAUUAUGUUGAGCCAUUUUUAUGGUCUUGUGAUGUUUGACUUUCUGUUUGGGCUUUGGUCAUGGUUGAUUUGACUUUUGUUGGAUCAAAACCAUUGGAUUUAGCGAAUUGAUGAAAUGUACAUUUCAUCUCCCAAAAUAAAUGGAUGGUUUUGAUUAGAUGAAAUUACUCUCAUGAUCAAUUUGUGUUUCUAUUUCCACUUCCCUCUUCAUCUUCAUCCCCAUUCUUCCCCAUUUCCUCAUUUGACCAAUGAAAGCUCUAAUGUCUAAAUGCUAAUUGAUUCAUCAAUGACUUUGUGUCAGAUGAAUCAAUAUAAAUAUGACUGAGAUAGGUCCCUUCCCAUUUUUCUUUAGUGUGUGGUAUGUUUUAGGAGUUUGGUUCUUUGUACCAAAUCUCUAACAUGCAUUAACACCUAUAUUUUUAUUGUUCGGCCUCAUAUAGUUGUGACUUCUACAUAAGUCCAAUUACGAUUGCUUAAAAUUGAGCUAAAUUUGACCCUCAAGGCACAACAUUCUAGUAAGUGAGAUUGUAAAGUCUCCCAUUCUUCAUGGCAUUGUGUGGGGAAUUGACCUUUUUUCCUUUCAUGAGAGCUAGUGGCAUACUUAUUGAAUUAUCCAAGUUGGAGCCCUUCUCAUGGAUGAUGUCUUGGUUCAAGGAUCCAUACUUGUGAGUGAAUGGUUGAGUGUUAUCCAAAGAAUGACUUAAUCAAUUAAACUCAACACUAACUUUUGACUAACCAUUGACUAACUUUUAGUCCUUAUGCUUUUACUUUCAAGCCAUUUACUUUAUACAAUUUUAAUUUCCAGUGAUUUAUUAUUCAUUGCCAUUUACAUUUCAUAUAGCUUAUUUAGGUUCAAGUCCUUUUUCACUUUGCUCACUUGAGCCAUAUCUUGUGAUUGUAUAUAUUUGUUUGUGUGUUUUGAUCUUGUUUGUGGUUUUAAGACCUUAAAACACCUAAUAACAUCAAAAACCCUAAAAAACAUUUGGUGGACUGUUGGGGUUUGAUUUGAGCUUUGGACUUAGAAUUAGGUAACUUUACCUAUGCUAAAGGACUUGGCCAAUGCCAACAUAUGAGACUGAGCUAUUCUUGACAAGUGAUUUUUAUCUGUCUCUGUGAUUAAUUGUUACUUUGUUAUGAUCUUUGUCUGAUGUUUUGUUCUGAGCUGAUCAAGGAAUAUUUCAUCUGAUACAUGGGAAGACAAUGAAGACUACUAACUAUUGGAAUGCUUGCUUGUAUGUGGCUAUCUUUAUUUGAUGCCUUAAUCUUUAUGAUGUCUAGAUAUUGCUCAUUGCUUAUUGCUUAUUGCUUGAUCAAAGUCCAAAGGAAAAUGGGUUUCUAUAUGACAUUCUUGUCUGUUGGAUUGCAUCCCAUUUGUUAGAUCUUUUCAACUCUUAACUUUUGAAUUUUUGCUUAGGGUCGUCUAUUCAUCUCCUUCCACUUCUUAAAUUUCAAAAUCUCUCCCUCGUUUCAAAAAACUUUCUUUGCUUGUGAUUUUAAAUUUAUACAUGUUUUAAUAAUUAGAAACUUUGACCUUAUGCCAAUGAAUUUUAAAAUCUUUUCUUAAUCAAAUUUGUAAAUAAACUUAACCAUAUUUGACUUAAAAUUUCAAAAGACAAAAAUAACUAACAACCUCAUUCAAAACUUUGGCCUUUUUGUGCCUUUUUUACUUAAACUUUUGUUAAAAAUCAACUCACCAACUUUUUUGAAAUUUUUAUCACGAACUACGAGGUUUUGAUCCCUCAUUUUUAUGUUGGUACGUAUGCACAAGACCGAAGGUGUUGUCAAACAAAAAAAAAUAAUCAAUGAAUUCUUUUCUCAUCCCCACACUCUAUUUUUCUUAAACAUCUUUUAUACCAAAACAUAUGCACACAUAAAAAGGGCUCCCUAGGAGUAUCUAGGACACUUUGGAUGCUAACACCAUCCCUCUGUGUAAUCAACCCCCUUACCUGUAAUCUUUGGCAUUUUAUUAAUUUUGAUUUGAAAACUUCUUAUACUUGGGUUUUGUUCGUACUUUUCCCUUUUUCUUUGGAAACAAUAAAAGCGCGGUGGCAACUCUGAUUUUAUUGACGUUAAACUUAUCCAUAGCUUGAUGGUCAUGAAUUUACCGCUACACAUACAUCAACAAGAGAGCAUAAGGGGAUUCUAAUACACAACCCAAUCGUCUUAAUUACUUAUAUUUCAAACUCGUAAUUUGUUUUCCAUCUAAAAACCUGAAAACCUCUCAUUUACUGCUUUCCUUUACAUUGCACAAUUGUUGGCUUGUUCGAACACAGUCCUUGUUGAUUCAAUCUUUUAUUACUAUGAUAGUAUCUGUACACUUGUCGAGAAGUCAUCAUAUAACAAUUCCAAUCGAUAAGCAUAAUAUCUUUUAUGCUAAAAAUUUAUUUCGCCACACAAAAUCAAUUUUGUUUUAGAAACUCUGAUAAAAGUUUUUCAAACUAUUUUUCAGAGGAAUUUUUUAUGAAGGUCUAUUUACCCCCCCCCCCCCCCCCCCCCCCCNCCCCCCCCCAAUAUACCGUUUAUUGUCCAUAUUCUCAUCCAACACUUUUAAACUACUCUUCAAUUUUCAUCAUAAAAAUUAAACGACAAUUAUACUUGCACAACACAUAUAUUCACUCAAAGGAUAAAUUUUUAUCCUCUUAGGAUACUCUAAAAUAUCUAAGGCAUGCAAGUGUAUGACAAGAAAACCUUAAGGGUUAGGGAUCAAUCCAUAUAAAGUAUUAUGAUAAAGAGUUUGAUAAUAAUAAGUCAUAGCUAGUUAAAGAUUUUAAAGAUUUGGAAAUCAUAAAAAAACUUCUAACACAUGUACAUGUACAUAACAUUGAAGCAUCCCUUCAGUGUUACAAAGAAUAUGAUCCCAUGUGAUGAAGCACCACCUUGACUAACCUUUAAGUACAUGUCAUCAUAUCCAGAAGAGAAAAUCAUUAGUAACAAAGAUGAUCCUCUAAGUAACAUAUCAUCAUUCAUAAAUGAAACCUCUUUAGUUGAAUGCCUUUCAAUGCUUGAACCAACCUCUGUGGAUUUGAGAGACGAUGUUUAGAUAGUGGAAAUUCAAAAAGAACUAAAUCAAUUCCAAACAAAUGAAAUUUUGGUUAUUACGCCAUGAUUACAAGGAAGACAUGUCAUUAGAGCCAAAUGAGUUUUCAUAAACAAUCUUAAUGAGAAACGAGAUGUGGUAAGAAAUAAAGCUAAACUAGUAUAUCAAGUCUACAUUUAGUAAGAAGGUAUCAAUAGUACUAAAACUUUUUCACUUGUAAGUUAGAAGAAAUUUAAAAUUUUACGGGACCAUUUAUUCCCUUAACUUUUAAAAAUACCGAUUCAAUCCCUUAUGUCUUCACAUGUUAGACCUUUCUGUUAGGCAUGUUAGUCAAAGUAAAAAUAAAUGGCCAUUUGACAUAAACUUGGCACUGAUGUGGCAUAUGCUCAUUACCAAGGUCGCCAAGGUCAUCAAAAUUCUAAGAAAAAUUCCAAAAUUUUGUCUUCACCAUUGAUUUAAACCAUGGUCGCAUUGAUUGCUGGGUAAGAUACUAUACCGUUGGGCCACUUCACCAUUUUUGAUUUAAUUUACAAAUUAAAUAUAUAUUGAAAUAUUAAUUAUUUGUAAAAAGAAGAUAUUCAACCCAACCAAUAUCACUGUUUUAUCCAAUUUUCUUGUUUCCAUACCCAAAUGGAUUAGCUGGUUAUGCUUUUUCCUUUUCAUCAAAAGUCAAGGAAAAGAUAUUAACAUCUUCAUAUUCGAAUAAAGAUAUAUAUUCCAUUGAAACACCAUGGUUAACAACCUUAAAGAAUCCAAACUCUUCAGUUAUGAGUGCGGUUUGUUUCAAGUUUCUUAAACAUGGAUAUUGUAGUGGUAAAUUCAUGACCAUCAAGCUAUGGAUAAACUUAACGUCAAUAAAACCAGAGUCUCCACCGUGCUUUUAUCGUUUCCAAAGGAAAAGGAAAAAGUACGAACAAAACCCAAGGAUAAAAUGCCAGAGAUUACAAGUAAGGGGGUUGGUUACACAGAUGGAAGGUGUUAGCACCCGAAGUGUCCUAGGUACUCCUAGGGAGGCCUUUUUGUGUGCAUAUGUCAAUCAAAAAAUUAACUUUAGUUCAGAAUGUGGAAGAGAAAAAUAUUUUUUUUUUGUGAAAGUCCCAUAUUUUUUGGAUUAAAAAUGGAUUUAUUAUGAAUUGAACAAAAUAACUCAAUUAAAUGAAAAAUCAAAAAAUAUGGAAAAUCAUCGACCAUCAAUCUCCCUCAUUAAUUGAGGUGGCAAAUCUGAUGGCCACGCAUGUGCAGUCCACCAAAGACCAAGCCAAACGCGUUGCAUGAAUGGUAAUUGGAACGAAGGGAUGAAAUUAAAUUUUUUUGAAUGGAUCAAAGGGUUGGGAACACGACAACACACCACUGAAGCUAGGGCUCUGGUCAUCUUCUCCGGUGAACCUCACCGGACUGGAUGACCACCAACCAUCACCAAAAUGAAAAACAAGGACAUGAUUUUAAAGAAAAAAUGCCCAGGAGCUCGAGUAUGGUCUCAAUUUUGUCCAAUUCCAAGUAUAUUGAAAGAUACAUGGAUUUGAAUUUUGAGGAUUAUGAACUGAGUUGUUUCGAUUUGACCUCAAAGUAACUCAAUCUUGUUGCCCACAUUUGUAGGACUUCAGCAAACCAACAAUCAAUCAAAAUGGAUGAGAAAUGAGGGAGAAUCGAAGAAGAGAAGUUUUUGAAAUCUCACUUUCGAGGAGCUUCAAAUCAACUUGAUCUUGCUUCCAAUUUGGCUUGGCUUGACUCUAGAAGCUUGCAGGAGAUGAUAUUGAUGAUUAAAAAACUUGGACUCUUGGAGUUUCAAUUCUAAAACAAAAUGAAAAUUGAAACUCGAUUUCUCAAGAAAUCUUCAAGAUUAUCCUUUCAAUGGUGUUUGGGGAAGAAAGGGGUCGGAGCUUGGGAAAGAGGAUCCACAUUCUGAUCACCAGGGUCAUGUAUUUAUAGCCAUGUCCAUUGCUUUUCACACACUUCAAAAAUUGGCCAAAAUUGGAAAGGUGAAGUGCAUGCUUGCAUGGGCAUGUGAUAAGCCCAUGAGAUGAUGUAAUCAGGUCCAAAAAUGAUCAUGAAUGAUGCUAAAAGUCUAACAUGAGGCCAUGCAUUUUUAAUUGAGAAGUGAUCAUGAGAUUCAUCCAAAUGGAACCAUGAAGAGUAACCAUGCUCAAAUAAUUCAAACCUUGUCUAACUGAAGUUAUUUUGGACUUUUUGGAAAGGUGGGAUCAAGGGGAACAACUUUAAUGUUGAACAUAUUUCCAUUAGAAACUUGGAUCAUGAUGAAUUUUAAGGUGGAAGUUUGAGAAAUCAAACAUAAUUGAAAUUUUUCUAAGUACCAAGUCAAAUAUCAUUUCUUCCACCUUGAAUAACUUUUGCUAUGAGCUUCAAAUGGAAAAAGUUUAUUCAUAAAAGUUGUAUAUCUUAAAAUUAUAUUCAAUUUGGUCAUGAAGGAGUUAUGCAUUUUAGAAGUUGAGGAAAAUUGCUUGUUCAAUGGUAAUGACCCAAAAUGACCUAUAAUGUUUCCUCUUGGAACAUGCCCUUGCAAGUUGAAUUUGACAUUUUUCAAAGAAUAAAAGUUGGAGAGGACAUCUUGAAAUUGAUUAUGAAACUUGUAUGGACUUCCUCUCAUAAAAAUUGAGCAAGUUAUGGUCCUUGGAUGUUGACCUUCUAACUAGGGUACAAACAAAAUGACCUAUAAUGUUUCACCAUAAAAAGUGACUUUCCAAGAAACAAUAGCUCUUGAUGCCAACAUGAAAGUUGUUUGGAAUGUAAUAAUAAGUAACUUUUCAGUUGGUAUAAUUUUCAUAUGACAAAAUUUGUAGGAGAUAGGGUCUAGGGAACCCCAGUUUUGACUAGUUGACUUUCUCUGGUCAAGUUCUUUGAACCAACUUGCAAACUUGAAGUUAUCUUGAUCUUUUGGGCUCAUGGAGGAUCAUAUAUGCAUAAUAUGAUGUUAUAUGAAGUAUACCUUGAUAUAUUGGACCAAAUGCUGGAGAAACUUCCUGAGGAAGUCACACAAGAUACCCAGAUGAAUUAGGGUUUCCAAGGCAAAACAAGCUUCAAACUCUUGAUGAUUUCUUGAUCCAAAUGAUAAAUAAAGAACAUGGGGAUCCAUACAUGAUGUCUAGAACCAAUGUGAACCAUAUCUUGAUUGAUCUUAUUGCACUGAGGGUCUCAAACCCUAGUUAUGAGCUUGAUGAGGCAUUGGUGGAUGCACACACUACCUACAAAAGAAACAAAGCUAUACAUGGACAUAUUUUUGUAUUUUGGUUAGUAAAUAAAGAAAAACAAAGUAUGAUACAAUCAAAUGUGCUUGGUGAUCUCUCCCAAUGCAAAACCAAUGAUUAUGGGGUAAGGAGGAUGCCAAGGUGUGAUCCCAAAGCCAAUGCAUAUGAUGAGAUAGCAUGAGGGAUCUUAGGGUCAAAUUUGGGGUCUUACAGAUAUUUCUUUGUUGUUGUUUUUGACAACACAACCAUUUUGAAUGGAUGAAAGAAAGCAUAGGUGAUUAAUAUUCUAAAAUUAUAAUGAGUUUUUAUCAUGUGUAUAACCUUAAUAAAAAAAAAGCCACAACUUAUUUCAGAAAUUAUUUGAAACCAAGAAAUCUUAAUAAGAGCUAUGGGAAACUUAUUAUGAUUUUUUACCAUGUGUGCAAUCUUAAUCGAAAUCCAGAAAUUAUUCUACAAAUAUUCCAUAAAUCAAAAUCAAAAUUGAAAUCAUACUUACAAAUUGAAAUUGAAAUCUUAAUCGAAACCAAAACCCAGAACAUCAAACUAAAACUAAAAUCUUAAUCAAAAUUGAAAUCUCUAUUGAGAUUGUUCAUCAUCUUCCCUGAAAUCUCUAUCGAGAUUAUUCAUCAUCUUCCCUAAGAUGCUUUUGCUGAAAUAACCACUGCAACACCGAUUGGGUUUAAUGAACAUUACAGAAUCUGGAGACAAGAUUGUUCUUCAUCAAUUUGAGUUGUUUUGGCGAGAUGAGGUUCUUCGAUAGAAAUAAAGUUAGGAACUUUUUGGUUACUUAGGAGAAAAGGAAAAUGAACAAGUUAAUGAAGAUGAACAUUGAACUAAAUCAACCAUUCCUAGAAGCUGAAAGGAACAAAAUUGAUAAUGAAUUUGAGGAUGAGAUUUCUUCCUCCAUGUUUUCAUGGAGAAAUCAUUGGUACCCAGCUUCUUUAAUUGAAGAUCUGAACCCUGGCUUACCAACACCGUUUCAGCUUCUAGGUCAUGAAAUCGUGAUUUGGUAUGAUAAUUCCAAAUCUCAAUGGGUUGCUUUUGAUGAUAAAUAUCGUCACUGUCUUGUUAGAGAAACAUUGAAUAAUGCUCUAUUUAGAUAAACAUUUGAAUUAAACGUUUAUAAACAUGUGAAUAUAUAUCUAAUUUGUAAAUUAAAUCGUCAAAGGUUAAAUGGACCAGUGGUACACCAUCUUGUCCAACUACCAAGGUGACCUUGUUUUGAAUCUAGGUUGAAGAUAAAUUUUUGGAAUUUUGUUUAGAAUUUUGAUGACCUUGUUGAUGACCAUAGGCCACAUCAGAUGCCACACAUGCUAAUAUAGAUGUCGUUUAUGGAAACUAGACAUAAAGGACUUAAAUGACAAUGUAUGAAGACAUAAAGGACUAUAUUGGUCUUUUAAAAGUUUAUGGACCAAAAUAGACCCUGAGAUAUAUGUUUUUAAAUUGAAAAAUAAUUGUAUGAUCUCAAACAAGCCCUCAAAGUUUGAUAUGGUGGGUUUAGUAACAUUCUCAUUAAAAAUGAUUUUUAAAGAGGACAACUUGACAUUAAAUUAUUUUGUAAAAUAACCAAGAAUAGUAUUUUUUGGUAUAUGUUGAUGAUAUAUGUUGUAGAUAAUUUAGAUAUAUGUUGAUGAUAUAUUUUUUUGGUUCUCUAAUAUGUAACUAUUUUUCAAUACUUUUUCAAGUUAAUGCAAACUGAAAUUUGAAAUGAGGGCGACGGGACUUCGAAGUUAUUUCUGGGUAUUCAAAUAAAUCAAUUGUACAUAUGGAAUAUACAUUCACUAAAUAAAAUGUAAGCAUAUGAAAACUCCAAUUCACCUUAAUUGCAUUAUACAUAAAAGAUGAAAUCAACACUAGGGUAGCCCAAAAUGUAUACAAAAUUAUAAUAAUUUCACUUAUUAUCUCACUAUUUUUAGACCUGAUAUUCUAUUCAUUGUAUGUAUGUACGUUCAUUUCCAAUCAGUUCCUAGAAAAUCCAAUUUAACUAACAUUAAGAGAAUGCUUAUAUAUGUGAUAGAUACUACUAACAUUGGCUUGUAUUAUAAGAAAUUAAAUGAUUACAAGCUAGUUAGGUUCUGCGAUGUUGUCUAUGUUGGAGACAAAAUAGAAAGAAAAAAUAACAAUGAAAGUUGUUAGUUCCUUGGUUAUAAUAUCAUUUCCUAACUAAGAAAAAGACAACAAAUAAUUUCAAUAUCCAUAAUAGAAGCAUAAUACAUAUCAACUGUAAGUUGUAACACUCAACUUCUUUGGAUGAAACAUCAACGUGAAGAUUAUCAUAUAAAGGAAAGUAAGAUUUAUAUUUAUUAUGAUAAUACUUCUUCCAUUUUUUAAUUUAUGAAUCAAAUUUUGCACUCUAUAGCAAAACAUGUUGAGAUUAAACAUCACUUUACUAGAGAUUAUGUUCAGAAAGAGAUUUUAGAUAUAAAGUUUGUUGAUAGAGAUCUUCAAAGGGCUAAUAUAUUAACAAAACUCUUAACCGAAGAUAAAUCUAGUUUUAUAAAGAAGAAUUUAAAUAUUCUCUUUAUAAAAAAGAAUGAUGUUUUAAUCUUAUAUAUAUAUUAUAUAUAUUAUAUAUAUAAUUAUAUAUAUUAUAUAUAUAUAUAUAUAUAUAUAUAAUAUAUAUAUAUAUAAUAUAUAUAUAUAUAUAUUAUAUAUUAUAUAUUAUAUAUAUAUAUUUAUAUAUAUAUAUAAUAUAUAUAUAUAUAUAUUAUAUUUAUAUAUAUAUUUAUAUAUAUUAUAUAUAUAUAUUAUAUAUUAUAUAUUAUAUAUUAAUAUUAUUAUAUAUAUAAUAUAUAUUUAUAAUAUUAAUUAUUAUUAUAUUAUAUAAUUCUAUAUAUAUUUAUAUUAUAUAUAUAUAUGAGCUGAAAGAUCUUGACUUAAAGUUCUACCUUAACUUUCAAACAUACAAUUUCAACUAAGAUUAACCCUAAGUGUUGUGUUUCUAUUAUUAUUUUUUUGGUUGUAUUUUCUAAGGGGAUAUUUUGAAUAUAAUUCUUUGAAUGAUCAAAUGAAAAUAUUUUUUUUUGUUUCUAAGCCAAAGAAUGAUCACCUGCCUCCAGACAAAGCUAUGAUCAUCUGUUGCCUAACAAGGUUAACCACUUAGACCUCAAGGCUAAAUGUUAUUUGAAUAAUCAUUUGUGCCAAAUCUAACUAAACCAAACCAAUGCAGUUUGAAUUGAUUCGGUUGAUUCGAUUUCUUACAAGAUUUUUAUUGAGCUAUACAUACACAUAUAGAGGACAACACAAAUUUGUGUCUAGUAAUUCAUACAUUACCAAAUAAAAAAUAAAAAAAAGUCAAUGAGGACAAGCUACAACACCAUUUCAACACCAAAUAAUAAAAAAAACUCAAAUAACAAUGUGUAUUACAAAGUACAAAUUGAAAUUUUAGACAAUAACAUUAAUGCCUUACAUUACAAUAUUAUGGUAGCAACACAAGAAUACCACCUAGACCAAAACUAGACUAUCCAUCACACAAUAAAACAAAUAAAUACUUCAAUCAUAUAUUAGAUCUUAAAAACACAACACUUAAGGUUGAAGAAGAGAAAAGAUGUUAGAAAUCCACUACAACUUAUGAAGAAUUUUUAUCAAUCUUGAUGAACAAGAUUGUUAUCAACCAUGCAAUGACAAUGAAAAUAAAAGAACAAUUGAGAAAGAAAGAAAAGAACGUUGGAGAAUAAUAAUAAUAUUUUCUUCAGAGUUUUUUCUCUGCCCAUAAUAUGUGGACAACUUCUUUAUUGACUUUGCGACUGCAAAAUUCUAUGAAUACAAUGUUAUGACUUCUCUAUUGUAAGAAUAAGGGUUACUCCCUCUAUUUAUAGAUUUAGGUUAACUUACUCCCUAAGUCAAAGCCCAAAACUAUAAAAACCAAAAAUAGUUAACACUACUAAAAAUAGGCCUAAGCUGAAAUCAUGUAUGAAGCAACAUGCUUCGACACUUCGACACACUAAUACAACUCAACACACUAGGUGAUUUGACAUUUCCUUGCUUUUGUCGAGCAACCUGCUUCGACAAAAGGAAUUACAAUUCAAUGCACCGCCUAAUUCAUUAUGUCUAAGCUAUAUAUAUUCAUUAUAGUUCUUAGUCUUUUGAGCACUUCGACUUGCAUUCCCUUCGUCAUGAUGUCUGCAAUCUGAUUCUCAGUUUUGUAGUGUUCCACAUUCAUCUUCCCAUCUACUGCUUUCUCUCAAAGAUAAUGGAACCUCAUUUCGAUGUGCUUGGUUCGACCAUAUGCUAUCAGAUUCUUUGCCAGAUUGAUAGCUUACAUGAUGUCGAUCUUUAUGGUAAUUGCUCCAUGACUCUUUGUUGUUAUCUCUUUGACUAGAUUCACCAUCCAUGUUGCUUGACAUGCACAAAGGGAAGCAACUAUGUAUUCUGCUUCACACGACGAUAAUGCCACUACUGGCUCCUUUCUCGAACUCCAAGCAACUGGUGCACCACCUAGCAUAAACACAUAGCCAUCUGUGGAUUUUUUAUCGCCAGCAUCACUACAACAACUUGAGUCGGUGUAUCCCACUAGUUUGCAUUCUUUUCCUUCAUCAUCUACAGGAAACAAAAUGUCAUAGUCGAGAGUUCCUUUCAGAUACCUUAAUAUCCUCUUCGUCGCUGCUAGAUAUGAUAUCUUUGACUUCUGCGUGAAUCUACUCCUCAUACCUAUAAUGUAUGCUAAGUCAGGCCUUGUGUGACAAAUGUAUCGAAGUGACCCAAUAAGUCUUCUAUAUUGGGUUGAGUCGACAUCAUCUUCAUCUGAAUCUUUCGACAGUUGUAAUCUUGGCUCAACUGGAGUCGAAGUUGGAUUGAAAUCUUGCAUCUCAAAUCUCUUGAGCAUUUCGCCUGCAUACCUUCUUUGAUGCAUCAUCAAACCUCUACCACUCUUGUAGAAUUCGAUGCCAAGGAAAUAUGAAAUGUCACCCAGAUCUGACAUUUCGAAUUCCUUGUUGAGAUCACCUUUGAAGUCUCCAAUCUCCUUCUUGCAGCUACUUGUUAUCAACAAGUCAUCGACAUAGAUACAUAGUAUAAGAAAUUCAAUCUUGCUUCUUCUUACAUAUACUCCAUGUUCAGUUGUACACUUCAUAAAUUCCUUCUCCCUUAGAAAUCCAUCUAUUUUCUUGUUCCAAUCUCUUGGAGCUUGUUUAAGUCCGUACAAGGCUUUAUGUAGACUGUACACUUUUCUUUCUUCGCCUUGUUUCAUAAACCCAACUGGUUGUACAACAUAAACUUCUUCUUCUAAGGGGCCAUUCAAGAAUGCAUAUUUCACAUCCAUCUAACACAUCUGCCACCUGUUCAUGUUUUCUAGACCAACAACCAACCUAAUUAUUCUGAUCCUAGCAACAGGUGCAAAAACUUCAUCGAAGUUGAUUCCUUCUUUCUGAAGAAAUCCUUUCACCACAAGUCUUGCCUUAUGUCGAGCCACUUCUCCUUUGGGAUUUAGCUUCACCUUGUAUACCCACUUCAUAUCGAUUUCCUUCUUAUCUUGGAGCAAUUCAACAAGCGACUAAGUACUGUUGACUUUGAUUGACUUCAAUUCUUCGUUCAUUGCUUUCACCCACUUAGAAUCUUUCAAUGCCUUAGCUGCAUUGAUCGGUUCGACAUUUGUGUAGAAAGUAUAGUGUACCAACUCACAUUCUUCAUUUACCACAUCAUCUGAUGUAAUCACACAUUCUUACAACCUUGUAGGCAUAUGUCUUGUUCUUUGAGGUCUGCUUGGGUCUGCUUCACCUCUGACUUCUUGUCGAACUUCUCUUUCGACUUCACUAGCUGGAUCAUCACAUAAUAUUCUCACUGAAUCCUUCUUAACAUUCUCAAUCCAAUCCCAUUCCUUAAGCUCAUAUAUGAUCACAUCCCUGAUGACCACCACUUGCUUAUUCACUGGGUCGAACAACUUGUAUCCUCUAGUCGAAUGAUAUCAUAUCAGGAUCAUUUGACUCGACUUGCCAUCAAGUUUUCUUCUCAAUUGAUAUGGAACAUGUAUAUAUGUUAUAGAUCCAAACACCUUUAGAUGACUCAACCUAGGCUUGGCACCAAACAAAUAUUCUUCUGGCGUGAUUCCUUUUAUCUUCUUCGUCGAACAUCUAUUCAGGAUAUAUGUUGCAGUCGACACAAUUUCUCCCUAUAAUUCUUUGGGUAGAUGCUUUCCUUUCGACAUACUUCUCACCAUAUUUAUGAUGGUUCUAUUCUUCCUUUCCGUGACUCCAUUCUGUUCUGGAGUGUAGGGCGACACCACCUCAUGCACAAUCCCUUCUUUCACACGUAAUGCGUCGAAGUCUUUCGACAAAUAUUCUCCACCACCAUCAGUCCUCGGAAUCUUGAGCUUUCGACAGCUUUGUCUUUCGACCAUAGAUUUAAACUUGGUAAAUACCUCGAUCACUUCACUUUUCUUCUUGAUCAAGUAAGCCCAUAGUUUUCGAUUGAAAUCAUCUAUGAAUGUGACAAAGUAUUUGUUACCUCCAAUCGAAUCCACCUGGAUAGGACCACAUACGUCAUAAUAUAUAACUUCAAGAAUUGCCUUCGACCUACUUCCUGCGUCCUUACUGAAGAUGUUCUUGUGCUGCUUCAUUUGCACACAUUCUUCACACACUUCGCCUGGAAUAUCGAUUUCUGGUAAUCCUUAAACCAUAGUUCUUCUCUUUAAAUCUAUGAUGUCUUUGAAAUUGAGAUGACCAAGUCUGUAAUGACAUAUCCAUUCAUCUCUGAUGGCUGAUGUUGCAAGGCACUUAUGCUUCAUCACAUUAAGCUCAAUCUUGAAGGUUCUAUUAUGAGAUAUUAGAGCCUUCAAGAUCAAUCUUCCAUUUGAGUAGAGACCUCCCAUCAUCUUGUCUUCGAUCGACACCUUGUAGUUCUUUUAGACUAACUGCCGUAUGCUGAGCAAAUUACUCUUCAUGCCUGGUAUGUACAACACAUUUGAAAUUACUGACCUCUUGCCAUCUUUCCUCAUAAUCAGAGCAUCAAUAACACCUUCAACUACUAGAGUAUUGUCAUUUGAAAAUUUCACCAUGUUCUUCAUUGAGGGCUUUAUGUUGACAAACCAAUCUUUCCUUCCCAGACAUGUGUGAUGAGCAUCCUGAGUCCAAGUACCAUUGGUCCUUGAAUCCCUCUUCAUCUCUCGUUGUAACCAUCAGUGACAUCUCUUCUUCUUCAUGUUUCACUAGCUUUGCAUAAGUUUCUUGAUUCUUUUGCUUUUCUGGACAAUCACUAGAAUAAUGACCAUGCUUCUGACAAUUGUAACACUAAAUGUGAAUCUUGUCUGGCUUUUGACCACCACCUCUUCCUCUACCUGUAACACCACCUCUUUGGUUGCCUUGGUUAUAGGGUUUUCUAUGAUUCGACCAGUUUCCUUCUUGCUGAUUUCGACCAGUCGAAUUGUUGUAGCCUCUUUUGCUAUUGUUAUCAUUCUAGCUUUCUUUGCCUUUCCUUUCUUUUGCUGAUUGCGCCAGCAAAGCCAUAUCACUCUUCGAAUUUCCUGCAGCUCUUUCAGCCAUUCUUUAUUCAUGAGAUUCAAGCAUCCCUUGAAGUUAUUCCUUUGUCAGUUUUGAUAAAUCUUUCGAAUCUUUUAUGACUACUAUCCCGUGGUCAAACUUUGGAGCCAACUGCCUCAAGAUAUUUCCAACAACAAAUCUUGAUGUCAACACUUCUCCAUAUACCUUGGUUUGAUUCACCAGUUUCGUAACCUUGGUGAAGAAAUCAGUUAUGCUUUCAUUGUCUUCCAUCUGAAGCAAUUCACACGUCCUUUUGUCUGUUUGUAACCUCACUUCUUUCACCUUCUCCGCGCCUCUAAAUGACUUCUCCAGAAUUUCUCAUGAUUCUUUCGCUGACUCUACAUCACUAACCUUUUCAAAGUUACCUGAAUCAACACAUUGAUGGAUUAUAAAGAGAGCUUUAUAAUCUUUCUUUUUCAAUUCUUUAUGUGCAACCCUUUCUUGUUCUGUCACGUUUUCUGCAAGCGUUGUUACUUCUUCCUUCACAAGACCCCAAAGAUCUUGAUAAUAGAACACAACAUUUAUCUGCUUGCACCAAUUCUCAUAAUUAUUAUUCUUGAGAAUUAGAAGAUUCACUGGAAAAUACCCGUUUGGAUGAUUCAUUUCCAUCAUGAUUUUCUUCCCAGGAAUCGCUCAAACCAAAGCUCUUGAUACCAGAUGUUAGAAAUCCAUCAUAACCUUUGGAAAAUUUCUAUCAAUCUUGAUGAACAAGAUUGUUAUCAACCACGCAAUGACAAUGAAAAUAAAAGAACAAUUGAGAAAGAAAGAAAAGAACGUUGGAGAAAAAGAAGAAUAUUUUCUGUAGAGUUUUUCUCUGUCCAUAAUUUGUGGAAAACUUCUUUAUUCACUUUACAACUGUAAAAUUCUGUGAAUACAAUGUUAUGACUUCUCUAUUACAAGAAUAAGAGUUACUCCCUCUAUUUAUAGAUUUAGGUUAACUUACUCCCUAAGUCAAAACCCAAAAUUAUAAAAGCCCAAAAUAGUUAACACUACUAAAAAUAGGUCUAAGUCGAAAUCCUGUGUGAAACAACAUGCUUCGACACACUAAUACAACUCAACACACUAGGUGAUUCGACACUUCCUUACUUCCGUCGGACAACCUGCUUCGACAAAAGGAAUUACAAUUCAACAAAUCAUUUAUAAUCAUAAGGGUAAAGCAAAAUGAAUUUGAAUUCGGUUUGAAUGUGAAUAAAGUGAAAUUUGGGUUAUCACAUAAUGCAAUUCGAUUUGAUUUAUAAAAUACACAUCACAAAUCGAAAAUGACGCGCAUGGUUCUACUAAAAAUGACUCAAACACGUCGAAACUAAACUUACUUUUUAUAUAUUCAAUUUUAUUUAGUUCAUUCAUCAAUUUUUUAUUGCACCGAUUCGAUUUUAAAUAGCUUUAUCAAUACCCAAAGUAACACGUUCAUAUAGACUCAACACAGCGUAACCCAUAUUCCUACUAAUUUCAAUUUAAAAUAUAAGAAAAGGAAUAAAAUAAUUAUCAACUUUUUAAAUGGCUUUUAACGGUCACAUGACCGAUUUUUAUCAAAACGUUUUUGAAAGGGUUUUAACGGUCACAUGCAACAAAAAAAAUACCUACAUAAAAAACAUGUCAAAAACUUAAUUUUGCCAGAAGCAAUCACUGUAUUAACGAAUAAAUAAUUGAUUGUUUCUAUUGUAAAUCAUGUUAGAAAACAGGGUGGUUAGGACACGGCCGUCCAGCCAUUAACUUGCAUAAUUAAAUGUUAAUUAUCCAAUCAGAAUAUAUAAAGGCUGGCGUCUAAUCUUAAAUACCUAAAAUUUUAUGUUUAUUCUAUCUUCGCGAACGAGACAAUGACAAUCAUUAAUUUUCUUAUUUCAUCAACAAAAAGAAAGACAAUGAUUAAGUUUACAUGCUUGUUACAAGCCAUUACUAUAAUACAAACUUUCAGAUUAAAAAACACUUUGAAUUAAUUAAUAUUCUUGCAGCUAGAUGAGUACAGAAGCAUAUAAUAAUAAUGUCACCUAACAUACCUUAAUUUAAUUCCCUGAAUAGCGUCAAUGACUUGUCCCGAUAACAUUAAUAAAUGUAUGGUUUGAAAGUUGUACUCCAUUGAAAUUUGAAAUUUGAAAUUUGUUUUGGGGGUUUUAUUCUUACUAAUUUUCUGGCAAAUACAGAGAAAAUAGCGUGGCGUUGCAUGGCCCACUUUACCCUUCAUAUCAUCUCGAUCGGAAAUGCGAUUUUAUAGCUAAUAAAAUAACUAAACUAAAUACAAAAAUAUAAAAAUACAAAAAUAACCAACAAUUUCAAAUUAAAAAAAAAAAUAAGUAUUUUAAAAAUUUUACCAACAGAACAACGAUAAGAGGAGUAGCCACUAUAUGAGGCAUAUGUACUACAUUUUUAAAUAAAGACAUCAUUAUAGUUGGCGCAUGCUUGUAUGUGAUGCCACUUGUGUAUCUAAUGUGUCACAGGCAGUGACUACUGCUUUGUUAGUGUAUUAUAUAAAUACUGCAUUUCCUUCCCAUCAUUUUUCACACUUCUUCUAACUAUCUCCUUCUAUUUUUUUCUUCAAAAUAUCUUCAUAUAUGUGUUCUUAUUUUCAGAAGAGAAAUAUCAAUUUAAUUUAUUCGACAGUAAAGUCUCCGAUGAAGAUCCAACUCUGGAAUAUAGAGACGUUCGAGCAUCUUAAUAUGAGUUUGAUCUGUUGGUUAGAUGGAGACAUUGCAAAGGAUGAAAACAUCAUGAGAAUUCAAAGGCUUGUUACCGUAUUCAACGACAAUGGAGAAAGUCGUUUAUGAGACAAUGUUAAAACUGACAGAGAUGCUCGCAUUAUGAUGCACAGUUCUGAGGAAAUUGUCUUGAUGGUUGUAAUCACAUAGUUAUAUUUUUCAGUCAUUGUAUUUAUUUGUCUUGUUGUUUAAAUUAUUGUUUAGUUCUUGUUUAAAUUGUUGUAACCGAAUGUUAUGAUAUUUAUAAAUUGAACGUUGUUUUCAAUAUAAAGUAAAAUGAUUACAUAUAAAAUUAUGUUGCGGUACUUGGUCCAACAUUGGGACAAUUUAUACGAUGGUGUUCGGGCUGACGACACGAACUAUAAAAUUUCACCAAUUUGUUCGUCGUUUCCAUUUUGGUUUGAAUGUGCAUGCUGUUAGGGCGACCCUUUUUCUUUCUUCGCAUUUUUUCAUUGUGCCAAACUAUGCCCCCCUUGAUAUGCAGGGCAAUAAUCCUCCUUUGCUAUAAAUAGAGAGCUAAUAUUGUAAACAUUGCAUAUGUUUAUGACUUUGUAAAUGGUGAAUAAUAAGUUGGAAGGGUCCUACCAAGCCUUUGAACAUGCCGCUAUGACAUGGUGUAACACCUCAAAAUUUGCCCUCAUCUUCUUGGGACUAGCUUAGCAUAUUGCAUUUCAUUUUUUAGGACAUUAGGUAUUUGCAUGUUGCAUAUCAUGUGAGAACAAGCAAGUCAUCCUCCUAAGUCUUUCUCAAAAGAUAGAGAUGUUAAGAGAUUCAUGCCUGAGGGUCUCAUGGAUUGAUCACUAGCCAUCUGACGGUUUGCGCUUCAAUUAGGGUUUCUUGGUCCUUCAAGGAGUUUGAGCAUUAUCUUAUUGGCAAGGGUACAUCAUCAUCAUCAUGGUUAUGUCAUCCUCAAGGGGCUCAUUGUUCAUGCUCAGAUUCUUUGGGAUUAGGAUUUUGACCUCUGGUCAACCCUAAUCAGUUGCAUUCUACCAGUCAGGGUUUCUCAAGGAGAUGGGGUUUAUUUCUUGGAUGGAGAUCAUAUGAUUAUUAUGUGGAGCUUACAAGAGCUAGGGGUUCAUUUUGGAGCCAAUUCCUCAAGUGGUUGAGGCUCAGGCUGAUCAGGGCACUUCUAGGUCAUCUGUCAACCAGAAAGUCAACAGAAAGUCAACUGAGGGCUAGGAGGUGGAGAAAUGAGUUUCAACAUCUCAUUCAUGUUCAAAAGAGGCUUAUUAUCUUCUAGGUCAUCUGUCAACCAGAAAGUCAACAGAAAGUCAACUGAGGGCUAGGAGGUGGAGAAAUGAGUUUCAACAUCUCAUUCAUGUUCAAAAGAGGCUUAUUAAUCAUGUCAAAUGUAUAUCUUAAAGAAUUUGAGGUCAGAUCAAAAGUUUACAAAAAUGGAAAGUGACCUGUAAUUGGAAGUUUCCAAAAAUGGAAAGUUUUUGGUUCAAAUUCAACUUGAUCAUACAUCAUCAAAGAAGCUUCAAUUGAAUUUUUGUCCAACAUGAAAGUUGAAGAUCCCUCUCUCCCAUUUCCAAAAAGUCAAAGAUCAUGAAUUUAUGAUGAAUGGUUGAGGAGAUAUGAUCCAA